rnacentral:tRNA from 1 species
UGGGCUGUAGCUCAGUGGCAGAGCACUUAUCUUGCAUGUAUAAGGCACUGGGUUCAAUCCUUAGCACCACAU